rnacentral:rRNA from 1 species
UUCUGAACAUGUUAGACUUGGACUUGGGCGUCUGCCAGUGAUGGCUCGCCUCAAAUGACUUAGUGGAACAUCCCACAUCAGUGUUAGACGUAAUAAGUUUCGUCUCUCCUUGUGGUGAUGACUGCUCAGAACCUGCCAUCGCGCACUUUUGACUUUGACCUGAAAUCAGGUAGGGCUACCCGCUGAACUUAAGCAUAUCAAUAAGCGGAGGAAAAGAAACUAACAAGGAUUCCCCUAGUAACGGCGAGUGAACCGGGAAGAGCUCAAAUUUGAAAUCUGGCGUGCUCAGUGCGUCCGAGUUGUAAUCUAUAGAGGCGUUUUCCGUGCCGGACUGUGUCUAAGUCCCUUGGAACAGGGUAUCAAAGAGGGUGAUAAUCCCGUACUUGACACAAUGACCGGUGCUCUGUGAUACGUCUUCUACGAGUCGAGUUGUUUGGGAAUGCAGCUCAAAAUGGGUGGUGAGUUCCAUCUAAAGCUAAAUAUUGGCGAGAGACCGAUAGCGAACAAGUACCGUGAGGGAAAGAUGAAAAGCACUUUGGAAAGAGAGUUAAACAGUACGUGAAAUUGUUGAAAGGGAAACGAUUGAAGUCAGUCGUGACUGAGAGGCUCAGCCGGUUCUGCCGGUGUAUUCCCCUCAGUCGGGUCAACAUCAGUUUUGUUCGGUGGAUAAGGGCAGCUGGAAGGUGGCACCUCCGGGUGUGUUAUAGCCAGCUGUCGCAUACAUCGAAUGAGACUGAGGAAUGCAGCUCGCCUUUAUGGCCGGGGUUCGCCCACGUCCGAGCUA